ensembl:lncRNA
GUGAUCUGCUCAAGUUCUGAUUUGAAAAGCUGUGAUUCUAUGGCCCGCUCUAUCCUGCUUUGUAGACUUGGUGGAUAGUUCUAGGAACAAGCCCUGAGUUUGCUCAGCACUUUUUGUAUGCAGUUCUGUCUGUCCUUAGACCUCCCCUCAUCUGUCCAGGGACCCCUCCUGGUGAUGGCCCAUCCAUUGCACCCCCUUCCCCAGCCUCAGUUAAAUCUGUUCACCUUCUCAGAAUUUCCAUGGCUCAAUGUUGUUUUAUCAUCUUUUGCGACACUGAUUAGAUGAUUCUAAUCUGUAUGGUUGCUAUUGCUCGUGCACAUGCCUUACUUUCUAUGUUCCUAUAAGCUUCCAGAGACAAAGGUUGCAUCUCUCUUUUAAGAAGUCACCAUGAUGGGACUUUCCCAGUGGUCGAGUGGCUAAGGUUCCAUGCUCCCAAUGCAGGGGGCUUGGGUUCCAUCCCUGGUCAGGGAACUAGAUCCCACAUGCCACAACUAAGAGUUCCCAUGGUGCAACCAAAGAUUCCACGUGCCACGGCUAAGACCCAGAACAGCUAAGUAAACAAACAAAUAAUAUUUUAAAAAGAAAAAGAAGACACCAUGGCUUGGUGGUUAAGAGUCACUGUGGGUUGAAUUGUGUCUCCCGAAAGAGAUUGUAUUGAAGUCCUAACCCCCAGUACCUGCAAUAUGACCUUAUUUGUCCAUAGGGUCACUGCAGAUGUAAUCAGUCACAACAAGGAGGAGGGUGGUGCCAUGUGUUCUGUUGAUCAGUCGUGUCUGACUCUUGCAACCCUACAGACUAUGGCCCACCAGGCUCACCUGUCCAUGGGAUUCUCCAGGCAAGAAGACUAGAGUGGGUAGCCAUCCCUUUCUCCAGGGGAUCGUCCUGACCCCGGGACUGAACCCACGUCUCUCGCGUCUCCUGCAUCGGCAGGCAGGCUCUUUACACACGGAGCCACCUGGGAAGCACAAGGAAAAUCCCAAGGACAGAGGAACCUGGUGGGCUAUAGUCCAUGGGUUCACAAAGAGACACGACUGAGGAACUCCGCGCACAUGCUCGCAUGAUCCAAUAUAGCUAGUCUUCCUACAAGAUAGCCUGGUGAGACAGAAACACACAGGGAGGAGGUUUUGUGACGAAGAAGGCAGAGACUGGAGUGUGAAGCAGCUGGGAGUGAAGGAAUGCCAAGGAUUGCCAGAAUUCACCAGGAGCUGGAGAGAGGAGACAUCAGCUUGAUCCCUGGUCUGGGAAGAUGCCACAUGCCGCAGAGCAAGGAAACCUGAGUGCCUAAACGACUGAGUCCAUGUGCACAACUACGGAUGCGCAUGCGCCGUGGAGGCCGAGCUCUACAGCAAGCCUCUGCAAUGAGAAGCCCGCCACCACCAGCAGAGGAGGCCCGCGUGCAGCCAAAAAUAAAAUAAACGAACACUUUCUCAAAGUGGAUAGGAAUGAGACAAGGUAUCGGGAUGAUGACUCUAGACAAAGCCAUCUGAUUUGCCCACUUCUCAGGGGCUGAACCUAAGCUUUGCUGGAGAAUCAGAGCACGUGAAGAAGAUACAGUUAUCCAAGACUCACAUUCACUACGGGAAGAUCAGAUUGUGCCCUCGUGGGCAGGUGCUGGGGAGAAUCCAUUAUGCACUGGUCAGCUUCUACCCUUGCAGGGACGUCUGUUGUUCUGCGAUCCCGGCAGCUGACGCCUCUUAUGGAAACAGAACCCUCGCCUCCUCCGGGAUCGGCCACUGUCUUGCACCGCAUACUUCCUUCUGCCUUAAGCACAGGUCUGCUCCCCUCACAGCACAGGUAUAGACGAUGCCGCACCAGCGGGAGGAUGUCCGCUUCUGACAGUGACAUGGGAAACCGGGAGGAGCAGAGGGUUAAAAGUGUUGAUAACGGAAUGCUGUUUUUUAAUCGAAGUGUAGUUGACUUGCGAUAUUGUGCUGUUUCAGGUGUACAACAAAACGAUUCAGUUACAAAUAUUUUUUUCAGAUUAUUUUCCAUUAUAGAUUAUUACAAGGCAUUGAAUAUAAGUCCCUGUGCUAUACAGCAAAGCCAUGUCACUCGUCCAUUUUAUGUAUAGUAAUGUGCACCUAUUAAUCCUGUACUAUUUUAUCCCUCCCCUCUUUACCCUUUGCUAACCAUAAGCUUACUUUCUAUGUCUAUAAGUCAGCUAAUGUUUUGUAUAUAGAUUUAUUUAUAUUAUUUUUUAGAUUCCACAUAUAAGUGAUAUUAUAUAUUAUUUGUCUUUUUCUGUCUCACUUCGUCUAGUAUGGUAUUCUCUAGGUCAUUGAUGUAGUUUAAUUCUUUUUUAGGCUGAGUAAUAUUCCAUUGUCUGUGUGUGUGUAUGUGUAUAUAUACACACUUAAUUGCUUCUAGCUCUUGGCUGUUGCAAAUAGGGCUGCUGCGAACACUGGGGUGCAUGUAUCUUUUUGAAUUAGAGUUUUCUCCAGACAUAUGCCCAGGAGUGGGAUUGCUGGACCAUAUAGCAACUUUAUUUUUCAUUUUUAAAAGGAACAUCCAUACUGUUUUCCAGAGCGGCCACAUCAAUUUACAUUCCCUCCAACAGUACGGGAACAUUCUGAUAAGGUAAUGGUGUUAAUGACAGAUCAGGGAAUCAAAGUUUGGUAUCAGUCACUGGAAAGGGCUCUGACUGGCCUUCCUGAGUCAAACCUCCUCCUCCGCUCCCCUCCCCCUGCCCUUGGACAUCCAAACUGCAUCCCCAUCUGAUCAUUUCUCCCCAUCUCUCAGCUGCUAAACCAGCCUGAGCCUAAUAACUAAGCAUUAAGAGUGAUGGAGGCCUGAAGUAGCCGGAAGCUGUCCUUGCCAAAAUGUGGAGCAAUACUACCCAAGAAAAAUCCAACACAGAAAAAUCAGGUUUCAGAGAGGGAGAGAGAGAGCCUGAGCCUUCAAAGGCAUUGUUUGCACCCCCAAACCCAGAAAAGCUCAGGGAUACCCAGUCCUCAAACUUCGCAGUAGAGCCAAUAAAUUCUCUU